AGCUUGCUCUCGGGUGACGAGCGGCGGACGGGUGAGUAAUGUCUGGGAAACUGCCUGAUGGAGGGGGAUAACUACUGGAAACGGUAGCUAAUACCGCAUAACGUCGCAAGACCAAAGAGGGGGACCUUCGGGCCUCUUGCCAUCAGAUGUGCCCAGAUGGGAUUAGCUAGUAGGUGGGGUAAUGGCUCACCUAGGCGACGAUCCCUAGCUGGUCUGAGAGGAUGACCAGCCACACUGGAACUGAGACACGGUCCAGACUCCUACGGGAGGCAGCAGUGGGGAAUAUUGCACAAUGGGCGCAAGCCUGAUGCAGCCAUGCCGCGUGUAUGAAGAAGGCCUUCGGGUUGUAAAGUACUUUCAGCGAGGAGGAAGGCAUUGUGGUUAAUAACCACAGUGAUUGACGUUACUCGCAGAAGAAGCACCGGCUAACUCCGUGCCAGCAGCCGCGGUAAUACGGAGGGUGCAAGCGUUAAUCGGAAUUACUGGGCGUAAAGCGCACGCAGGCGGUCUGUCAAGUCGGAUGUGAAAUCCCCGGGCUCAACCUGGGAACUGCAUUCGAAACUGGCAGGCUAGAGUCUUGUAGAGGGGGGUAGAAUUCCACGUGUAGCGGUGAAAUGCGUAGAGAUCUGGAGGAAUACCGUGGCGAAGCGCCCCUGGACAAAGACUGACGCUCAGUGCGAAGCGU
rnacentral:rRNA from 1 species